rnacentral:rRNA from 1 species
GAAUUUUGCGCAAUGGGCGAAAGCCUGACGCAGUAACGCCGCGUGGAGGAUGAAAGCCCUCGGGUUGUAAACUCCUGACAGGGGGAAAGAUAAUGACGGUACCCCCAAAGAAAGCCCCGGCUAAUUCCGUGCCAGCAGCCGCGGUAAUACGGAAGGGGCAAGCGUUGUUCGGAAUCAUUGGGCGUAAAGGGCGUGUAGGCGGUUCCAUGUGUUCGCUGUGAAAGAACACGGCUCAACUGUGUCGAGCGGCGAAAACUGUGGAACUUGAGGCUGGGAGGGGCUGGUGGAAUUCCCUGUGUAGCGGUGAAAUGCGUAGAGAUGGGGGAGAACACUCGUGGCGAAGGCGGCCAGCUGGACCAGUUCUGACGCUGAGACGCGAAAGCGUGGGGAGCAAACAGG